CAAUAAGCUGUAGUUGUUCUGUGUACUACAGUGUCCAUUUAAGCUCUACCCAUUGUCAAGUUUUGUCAGCUUGAUUGAUUUACAUAAGGGAAAGUAGUCCCUACAUUUACUCAUGUAUUUUAACUGGAAAACUGGUGCACUGAGGAAAAUAAUAAAAAAUAGAUUCAAACACAAGGAGCAGACUAGAUAGCGACAAAGUAUUAUAAGGUCAGAAAUCAGGGAUCAGGAUUAUAUUAAAUGUCAU